CCUACGGGUGGCUGCAGUGGGGAAUAUUGGACAAUGGGGGCAACCCUGAUCCAGCCAUGCCGCGUGUGUGAAGAAGGCCCUCGGGUUGUAAAGCACUUUCAGUGAGGAAGAACGCCUGGUGGUUAAUACCCAUCAGGAAAGACAUCACUCACAGAAGAAGCACCGGCUAACUCCGUGCCAGCAGCCGCGGUAAUACGGAGGGUGCGAGCGUUAAUCGGAAUUACUGGGCGUAAAGCGCGCGUAGGUGGCUUGAUAAGCCGGUUGUGAAAGCCCCGGGCUCAACCUGGGAACGGCAUCCGGAACUGUCAGGCUAGAGUGCAGGAGAGGAAGGUAGAAUUCCCGGUGUAGCGGUGAAAUGCGUAGAGAUCGGGAGGAAUACCAGUGGCGAAGGCGGCCUUCUGGACUGACACUGACACUGAGGUGCGAAAGCGUGGGUAGCAAACAGGAUUAGAUACCCCAGUAGUC
rnacentral:rRNA from 1 species